AAAAGAUUGAACAGAAUUGCAAGAUAAAGGGCUCCUAAGCUAAAGAAGAUCAAACCUCGAAACCCCAGUCCUCCGAAACUAGAAUCGGCAGUCUACUUAUGUGCUUCUUUCUUGAAUUUUCUUGAAGAAUAAGAAGAAGAAAAUGUUGUUUCAAGUAGGAGGACAAGGGACGCGUCCUACUUUCUUCGAGAUGGCCGCCGCCCAGCAACUUCCCGCCAGUCUCCGUGCU
rnacentral:misc_RNA from 1 species